ensembl:lncRNA
GAAAUUCUUGGUGAAAAAUGUUGCUUCUCAACUCUAAUUGUAAGUCUCGCGGAUGCUUUUGAGAUACGGCCACAGAAUCUCAGUACAGUACAUAGGAAAUGACUCAUAGAGGAGUUAAACCCAACGCGUGGGUGUGGGCCAUAGUGGGCGCUAUUAAAACAAGACUGAAAGUUUGGGGUGGGUCAUUCACACGCGCUGCUUUUGCUAUGCUUGAACCCCAUUUGUGGCUUUUAAUCUUUUGAAAUCGCUGUGGGAUUUCAAUAUAUAUAAAGCUAAAUGGAUUCUGGUGCUAUGUUGCGUUGCCUCUAUUGGAUUACUCUAUUGAUCGCCACUCUUAUUCAUGGAACAAACGCAGAUAAAAGCCCACCCAUAGAGCCUUCAGAUUCCUGGAGGGUGGCAGCAAUUACCAGUUUAUCUGUCCUGGCAGCUGUAAUUGUUUGCGGAGCCUUGCUCAUAGGCAUUCUAGUGCAUCAAUUCAGGUCCAAGAGGACUUUACGUGAACCGAUUGAAGAGACAACAGGACCCCUUUAUCAAGUAUAGGAUCUUCAUAAGCUCAUGGAUCUCAAGCUGACGAAAAUGAAAAUGGACUUGUUACUCCAGUGAAUUAAUGCUCCAGUUGGUAAACGCUGGCUGGUACCUCAACCACAGAGUGUUCUACGAGUAGCAUCUGAUUUGUCUAACUUAUUACAUUAGUAGGCUAUGUCAUGCAUAGCAAAUGGUUAUGCACAAAAGCUGCACUGAGACCUUCCUUGUCACUCACUGUGCAGAAUAGGUUUGCAAGCCUUGGUGCUAAGUGACAUCCUAUGGACAGCAUGAUAGCACUGUUUUUGCAGAAAUUUGAGGCCAUUCAUGUUGCACUUAGUGCACUGUAGAUGCAUUCCCACUUGGAAUAUUCCUUGUUAGAUUUGUGAACACGAUAAACAAAUAACCACAAACCGUUUAAUAUAGUAGACUUAGAGAUCAACUUUUUUUACACAAAUAUGCCUCCCUAAACAGAUUUAGUAUGGCACAGCCAUUUGAAUGUAUUUGUAAUCAUUGUUUGUACAGUUUAAUUAUCUAUUUUUAUAGUGUUGGAAUACUACGCACUGUAUAGAUGUAGCCCUUUGUACAACAAUGUUCGGACACCGACUGGCUCAGCAGCCUGUCUAUGGCAUUGAUGAACGUUCUGGAGACACUGAAGACCAGCGAAGCAACAGAAGGCGAUAUCCUGAAAGACAAGAGUCGCCAGCUGACAUUAACAAACUCUUUGAGAAAGAGUCGCGGGUGUCAGAUUCCAUCUGAUUUUUGCUGCCUGUAUACGCAAAAGAGAUUAGAUAGUUUAGAGUGAUAUUUACAUGUAAGUAGUGAUAUUUACAUACAUGCAAUACAUUUAAUCUCCCGUGUUUUAUCAUUUCAGCUUACUAAAAUGUUUUGAAAGGAUAAAAUCACCAGUUUUAGAUGUGUGUAGCCAGCUGUGGGCAUUAGGGAAUGUAUAUAUUUAUAUACAGCAGAUGUGAAGGAGUAAUCAACUUGUUUGAAUGACUUAAAGCAUGUUUAACAAGAGGUUAAUAUCAUGAAACCUGUGAAGAACAUGUUUGAGUAACAUUUCAACCCAGAAUCAAAAGUGCUUAAAGAAUUUGUUGCAUUGUUUUCAAGAAAACUAAGCACACUUUAUACCCCAGUUCCCAAGAAUACUUUAUGUACCUCAUUGUGAAUCACUGCCAUGUUUGUCAGAAAUCUAGGAACAUCAAGAAGCUAGUCCAGAAUCUUUAUCGAUAAACAUAAACCUGUGAAGCAUGCACGGCGCUGUCAGUCUUAAAAAAAGUUGGUUGUGUAUUUGUGCCUUUACUCAUUCACAAUUACUCCACAGAAUGCAGAGGAAACUAUGCAUUUGAAUACAAUAAAGAGACAACUAAUGUACUGUAUUUGUCUGUUCAUGUUUUUUUGUUUCCUUAAUGUGUUUUUUGA